rnacentral:rRNA from 1 species
UACGGGGGGUGGCGAGCGUUGUCCGGAAUUAUUGGGCGUAAAGAGCUCGUAGGCGGUCUGUCGCGUCUGCUGUGAAAACUCGGGGCUUAACCCCAGGCCUGCAGUGGGUACGGGCAGACUAGAGUGCGGUAGGGGAGACUGGAAUUCCUGGUGUAGCGGUGAAAUGCGCAGAUAUCAGGAGGAACACCGGUGGCGAAGGCGGGUCUCUGGGCCGUAACUGGACGCUGGAGGAGCGAAAGCAUGGGGAGCGAACAGG